GACGAACCGUCCAAACGUUAUUCGGAAUCACUGGGCUUAAAGGGUGCGUAGGCGGCGCGGAAAGUUGGGUGUGAAAUCCCACGGCUCAACCGUGGAACUGCUGGGUAUACUGGCGAUCUUGAGCCACCUAGGGGCGAGCGGAACAAACGGUGGAGCGGUGAAAUGCGUAGAUAUCAUUUGGAACGCCAAUGGUGAAAACAGGUAGCUGGGAGUGUGCUGACGCUGAGACACGAAAGCCAGGGGAGCGAACGGG
rnacentral:rRNA from 1 species